rnacentral:rRNA from 1 species
GUGAGGAAUAUUGGUCAAUGGGCGGGAGCCUGAACCAGCCAAGUCGCGUGAAGGAAGAAGGAUCUAUGGUUCGUAAACUUCUUUUGUAGGGGAAUAAAGUGCAGGACGUGUCCUGUUUUGUAUGUACCCUGAGAAUAAGGAUCGGCUAACUCCGUGCCAGCAGCCGCGGUAAUACGGAGGAUCCGAGCGUUAUCCGGAUUUAUUGGGUUUAAAGGGUGCGUAGGUGGUUUGAUAAGUCAGCGGUGAAAGUUUGCAGCUUAACUGUAAAAAUGCCGUUGAAACUGUCGGACUUGAGUGUAAAUGAGGUAGGCGGAAUGCGUGGUGUAGCGGUGAAAUGCAUAGAUAUCACGCAGAACUCCGAUUGCGAAGGCAGCUUACUAAGCUACAACUGACACUGAAGCACGAAAGCGUGGGGAUCAAACAGGAUUAGAUACCCCGGUAGUCC